rnacentral:rRNA from 1 species
UACGUAGGAUGCAAGCGUUGUCCGGAAUUAUUGGGCGUAAAGAGAACGUAGGCGGUUCUAUAAGUUCGGUUUUAAAGACCGGGGCUCAACCUCGGGAGUGGACUGAAGACUGUAGAGCUAGAGGAUGUCAGAGGAUGGUGGAAUUCCAAGUGUAGCGGUGAAAUGCGUAGAUAUUUGGAGGAACACCUGUGGCGAAAGCGGCCAUCUGGGGCAUUCCUGACGCUGAGGUUCGAAAGCUCGGGGAGCAAACAGG